rnacentral:rRNA from 1 species
UACGGGAGGCAGCAGUGGGGAAUAUUGCACAAUGGGCGAAAGCCUGAUGCAGCUAUGCCGCGUGUAUGAAGAAGGCCUUAGGGUUGUAAAGUACUUUCAUCGGGGAGGAAAAAACAAAACUAAUAAUUUUAUUUCUUGACGUUACCCGAAAAAGAAGCACCGGCUAACUCCGUGCCAGCAGCCGCGGUAAUACGGAGGGUGCUAGCGUUAAUCAGAAUUACUGGGCGUAAAGAGCACGUAGGUGGUUUUUUUUAAGUCAGAUGUGAAAUCCCUGGGCUUAACCUAGGAACUGCAUUUUGAAACUGAAAUACUAGAGUAUCGUAGAGGGAGGUAGAAUUCUAGGUGUAGCGGUGAAAUGCGUAGAUAUCUGGAGGAAUAUCUGUGGCGAAAGCGGCCUCCUAAACGAAUACUGACACUGAGGUGCGAAAGCGUGGGGAGCAAACAGGGAUUAGAUACC